GUUGAAACCUGCACGUCCUUCAUGAAAGACGCCGAUGACGCCGUUUGUUCUUUGUAUUGAAUUAUUGAAUCCCCAAGUUUCUUUGAUCCUUGCUCGAAGCACGAAUGACGAUUCUAACUUCUUCAGCGGUUAAGAAACGAUCUGGACCUUCUGCGCAGAGCCUCUGACAUCUCUUAACACUGACACGCAGCACCAACCAGCAAUGGGUUUGCAUCUCAUGUCUCUAACUGCCUCUGGAGGUCUACCCUUAUUUUCCAGGAAGAUAGGAGCUGUGGAAUCGUUACCGUUCUCCACAAUGGCCUCCUUAAAUGGUGUUCACAUGUUUUGUAACUCUCAUGGCUGUGAGCUGAAGAAUGUAUAUACAGAGGAUACUACUGUUGUCUGGAAAACUUUAGAAGAUAGCAUUACAUUGAUUGCUGUUGGAGUCUGUACACAAGAAAGUGUUCUGAACGAACUGUUGGAUUUUGCUUUUGGUGCCUUAGUCAUGAUCGUUGGUUUAGAAGAAAUUAGAAUGCAUAGGAGUGCAGAAAGAUUGAAACGUGAUUUAAGGAUAAGUUAUCCUGUCUUGGAUCGUUUAAUGGAAUGCAUCGAUCUUGGGAAUCAGUCAUUGAGUAGUUCAGACAUUCUUUCUCUGGUACCUGUUGUUUUCACCCCUGAAAAUUCCUUAUUGUUGAAUUGUUUGGAGGUUUGGACGGAAGUCAUCAAUUCCCAGUUUGGCUGUGUGGUCGUAGAAAAUAGUAUAGCUGCAGCAACUUCAGCGUGGUGGGAGCUUGACGCACAUGAGCGCAAAUUGUUGCAACUUCUCAUCAUGUCCUCUGGCGGUGUGACAGCUACAGAUAUUCCUGUCUUCUUACCUCAGAGAAGUCCCACUGUACGUGAGGUGCCAUUUCGUCUCGUCUCUUGCAUGCUUGUCUCUGGUGUUUGGGUGUCAGCGCUGUGUGGACCUGCUCCUAGUCUUUCUCAAAUAGAACGAUUAACAGCAGAAUGUUGGAAGCAUGUCACAGAGGUCCUGAAAUCUGUCAGUUCUAUUGUACCAAGGAAUUUUCCCCAGUCUAUCAUUCUGCAGCAAGGCAUAAUAGGGUUUCUGCUCAUUAAUAUCCCGCUCUCUAAGUAUGUAAUGAGUAAUACUGUCUCCAACAACAAAAAAGAAUCUAGAUCCAAUUGUGAUGUACUGAGAACGUUUUUCUAUGAAUCAGCCACAUCACUUACUAGCCCGCAUGGAGAACACGCAGCUCUAGAAACUUAUUGGUGCUCAGAAUACCACAAAAUAUACGCAAUGCGCAUUGAAGAUGAAAUUAUGUGUGUCCUUUUCUCCUCAAAUAUACCUACACCAACCAUGAGAAUCCUAACAAGAGAAACCCAUGCUCUUCUCACUGGUGACAAACAUUUUUGCUGGUGAGUCAACGUGUUUGCCUUUCCUCCAACGUGAGUGGAUGUUCAUUCUUGCACCAACUGGCGAGAAGCCUCUAAGAAUUGGUAUUUUUGAUGCUGUCCAACUUCUAAGCUUCAGAGGAGCGGAACAAGGCAUUUCCCUCGAUUUGACGGAAACAGCCAAAAAGGCCACUGGAAUAGCCGAAGGAAAGGCGCGCUGUACUCCUUUGCGACACAUGGAAUGAGCGUUGUGUCUUCAAUUGUGAGAAUACCGACUUGAUUUAGGACGUGUCGAAUCGGUGUUGGAGUCUGUGACUGUGGAUGCUAUCUUCGAAAAUGACGCACUGGAGUUGUAGGUCAAGAUAUCGUUAGUAUAUCUUCCGAGCAAAGGGUUCGAAGAUUUGAGGUCUUCGAGGCGUGCUUCUAGACAAGCUAGAUAAACUCUAUAGGUCUGGUAGCAUGUGGCGUUGAAAACAAUAUUAUGAUAGUUACUUGCAGUAAGGUAAAACAUGUUAACACCAAGACCAAUCCCACGUGUUGUGACACUGAGCAUGACCGAUCGUUUUGGUUUGGUUUCAUGAAUCUGUGGGAGCACUUCCUCAUUUGUAAGACCGACAUGAUGGCGUUUCCUAAGAUCUUCCUCCAAUUUGUCAAGAGUCUUCUUGCCUUCGCGUUUUCUCUUCUCAUCAAUCCUUGAUUCUUGAUUGCGCACACGUGAAGGAGGUGGCUUCUUCUUGUUGGACUUUUUCUUUCGAGAUGAACUGCUGUCACCCUGUGACUUCUCACGGUAAUGAUUAUCACUGUCAGACAUAGUGGUCGAUUCUAACAGUGGCUUCUGAAAUCAAAAAGCCUAAUAUCCAUGGAAACCAAAAUUUCCAGGAAAUUUCCAGGUUAUUUGAUUCAGCAGGAGCAAAAUAAAAUUACUCGGUCAUAAAAAUUUCACGAAAUCCUUACUUUACAGUAGAGAAUAACCUAAUAAAAAUGCCAAUCAAAGGAGAAAUGCGGCAGGAGGGAAUGUAGAUCCCCUAUACAUAUGAACCUAUUUUUCGGUGAAAGCCUAUAAAAAUUUAAAAUCGUGAUUAUUUCUUGAGGAGCUCCAACGAUGGUUGGGGUAGAGAGAAAUGAGUCCCUUCUCUCCACCCUCAUGUAGCGUUGGGGUAGAGAGGUAGGAGAUAAGUGUAAGAAAUAGAUGAGAUACCUAACAUUAAGGGGAAAAAGAUGUUUCUAAGGCCACUUUUGAAAACAAUGAUUUGAAAUUGUGGAUGUAAGUAUGUGGUUAGUGUUCCUCUUGACAUUUUAGCUCAGAUUUCUAACUUAGAGUUAAACCCUUCUCAGGAGAACCAUCUACGACGAAUCAUCAGUUCUUUGAAAAUUUUGAGUUAAAAGAAAAGUAAAUCAAUUUAAUUUAAGAUAAUGGAUUGUUCACUUAAAGGAGGGAUCCAUCUUCUCAGAUUUAAUAUGUCAUUACUUUUGAAUUUUUGACAUCCAAAUUUUCUUACUUUAAGACUUAUUUUUUUAUUAUUUUUUUUUUUUUUUGCUACAUCUUUGGCAAUUAUCAUAUGACAGAAUUGAUAGAUCUAUUUUAUUUUCAUCUAAUGACCUCAUGAAAUACUUUUGUCCCCUUUCUACAGUUACAACCUGGUUGAAUUCGAUUAGAGUCGUGUGAUGAAAGGGGGUAGCAUUUAUUUAAAUCAACUCUUGUGAUUAUGUCUUCAUAAUUGCAUCUGCAUUCUUUACUAAAAAUUCUUUUUGUGUCAUGCAAAUUUAUGAAGAUUGAUACAGCUUCCAAGUCAAAUAAAGUCAUCAUGUAGCUUCUUGGAUGACGUGUGAAUGUCAAAUUGCAUUCUUUUUUAUUUUUAAACGAUUUAUAUACCUGUUUAAAAUCUGAAUAUUUAUUUUCUUCACAAUUUUCGACGUAUUCUAUUUCACCCAAUGAAAUUUUGCUGCCAUAUCUUUCAUAUCCUCUGCUUUUCAAUUCAAACGCUUCUUCUUCAUUGCAAAACUUUGAAAAAAUGAAAAUAUCAAUGUCAUUGUAUUUUACAAAGCGUUAAACCAAAAAAGCGGCACAUCCUCCUCCCAUGUAUGCUGUAUCAUGGACAUUUAUAUACGGUAGGUCAUUUUUAAUUACCUCUAAAUGACUUUUUAUUUCAGAUAAUUCAUUUUUAUAAUUUUUCUGUUCAUGACUUUUCACUGAUAAUCUCUUUAAUAUUAAUUCUUGGCCCAUUAUAUUCGAUUACAAAAAGAGCUUAUAGAAUUAUGUAUACGAAACUAUAUUUAAUCGCUUAUUGAUAAUUAUAAGAAGUAACAACUAAUCGUAAACUUAAAUAAUUCUGCAACUAUCAAGGAAUGAAACCAUAUUCGAAUUUUCAUUACCUGUGAAAAACAAGAAGCAAUUUUACUGCUUAUCCUUUGUUGACUGUAAUAAAAGAAUACUACGAAUCACUUCUAUGACUUUUAUUAUCAAAAAGAUACUCUCAUAUAUUUAUCAUGUAAACAGCUGAUAAGAUUAUAGCCUACAAUCCACCCCUUAAUCGCAAUCAGGUGUAGAUAAGGCGCAGCUAAUUUCGCGAAAAACAAAACCGACGAUUUUGACACAAUUAAUUUUGACACAAUUAUCCCCCCUGAAGGUCAACCCCUAAUUUUGAUCUUAAGUUCUCAAAUUGUGGGGUUGGGAUUCCCUUUGUCAAAAUAUCAGCUAUUUGCGCAUUCGUUGGCACAUACUCGAUUACAACUGUUUUGUUCUCUACUAAUUCACGAAUAAAAUUAUAUUUGAUGUCAAUAUGUUUCAUCCGUCCAUGAUUAAUUGGAUUUUUUGCAGCAUUUAUACAUGAUUGAUUGUCUUCUUUUACAAUGAC